rnacentral:misc_RNA from 1 species
AAGUCGUAACAAGGUAACCGUAGGUGAACCUGCGGUUGGAUCAUUAACAAAUCUAGAGGGGCUUGUCCAAAAGACAGCCUUUUCUUAACAUUUUGUGAACUGUUUAUUGUCUCUGGUGGGUUAAAAUGGUAGUCUGAAAAGACCUCCAGGAGUUAAAUCUACCCACUGUUUAAAUUGAACUUAGUUGUAUCAUUUGUCUUUAAUCGAGUUAUUUAAUAAACUUAAACAACUUUUGGCAACGGAUCUCUAGGCUCUC